AGAACGAACGCUGGCGGCAUGCCUAAUACAUGCAAGUCGAACGAACACUUCGGUGUUAGUGGCGCACGGGUGCGUAACGCGUGGGAAUCUGCCCUUGGGUUCGGAAUAACAGUUGGAAACGACUGCUAAUACCGGAUGAUAUCGAAAGAUCAAAGAUUUAUCGCCCAGGGAUGAGCCCGCGUAGGAUUAGCUAGUUGGUGAGGUAAAGGCUCACCAAGGCGACGAUCCUUAGCUGGUCUGAGAGGAUGAUCAGCCACACUGGGACUGAGACACGGCCCAGACUCCUACGGGAGGCAGCAGCAAGGAAUUUCCGCAAUGGGCGAAAGCCUGACGGAGCAACGCCGCGUGUGGGAUGACGCUUUUCGGAGUGUAAACCACUGUUCGUGGGGACGAAGCACUGACGGUACCCACGGAGGAAGGCCCGGCUAACUACGUGCCAGCAGCCGC
rnacentral:rRNA from 1 species